rnacentral:misc_RNA from 1 species
AUGUUAAAGUUUAUUUCAUUAAUUUUUGGAUUAUUAAUUAUAUCUUUUUUAAAUGAGUUUAUAACCUUUAUUUCUUACUUGGUAUUUCUAGGUUUAGGGUGAUUAUUUAUAUAUAACUCUAAUUUAGUCAGCAUAUCAUAUUUUAGCUGUGAUUCUCUAAGAUGGUUCAUAGUAAUUUUGACAUUUUGGAUUAUUGUUUUAAUAUUAUUAUCAAGCCACUCUUAUAAAGUGACAAACUUCUUUUAUCAAAAAUUUACUUUCGUUUUAAUACUAAUAUUACUUUUAUUAUUUUUUACUUUUACUUGUUCAGAUUUAUUAUCUUUCUACAUUUUCUUUGAAGGCUCACUAAUUCCCAUUUAUUUAUUAAUUGUAGGUUGAGGAUACCAACCUGAACGUUUACAAGCUGGGAUUUAUCUUUUGCUUUAUACCAUCUUUGCUUCUUUGCCUUUAUUGAUCUCUAUUUUCUUUGUUGGAGACUAUGUUGGAGGAUUCAGUAUAUCUUUGUUAAGCUUCGGGUGCGACGAAUCUAUGUGAGUUAGUUUUUGGUUUAUAUUUUCUAUUUUCGCUUUUUUAGUUAAAUUACCUGCUUUCUAUGUACAUUUAUGAUUACCAAAAGCUCAUGUAGAAGCUCCAGUUUCUGGAUCCAUAAUAUUAGCAGGUGUAUUGCUAAAAUUAGGAUGUUAUGGUUUAAUACGAUUUAUGAUAUUCUUUCAAGGUAAAGUGGCUUUUUUAAGUAGAGUAUUAGUUUCCCUAGGGUUAAUGGGAGGUCUAGCUGUUAGAUUUAUUUGUUUACGUCAAGUAGAUUUAAAAGCUUUAAUCGCUUAUUCUUCUGUCAGACAUAUGGGUCUGGCAUUAGGUGGAUUAGGAAGAUGAGGAUUAUGAGGAUAUAGUUCUUGUUUAUAUACAUGUGUGGCUCAUGGGCUAUGUUCAUCUGGCUUGUUCUUUUUAUCUGGAGUAAUCUAUGAACGAGAGUCUCGUAGAUGAUAUUAUAAAGGAUAUUUAGAAAUUAUGCCGAGCAUAGCUUUUGAUGAUUUAUUUUAUUGUAUUGGAAAUAUUGGAAGGUUAUGGUUUAUACGAUUUAUGAUAUUCUUUCAAGGUAAAGUGGCUUUUUUAAGUAGAGUAUUAGUUUCCCUAGGGUUAAUGGGAGGUCUAGCUGUUAGAUUUAUUUGUUUACGUCAAGUAGAUUUAAAAGCUUUAAUCGCUUAUUCUUCUGUCAGACAUAUGGGUCUGGCAUUAGGUGGAUUAGGAAGAUGAGGAUUAUGAGGAUAUAGUUCUUGUUUAUAUACAUGUGUGGCUCAUGGGCUAUGUUCAUCUGGCUUGUUCUUUUUAUCUGGAGUAAUCU